rnacentral:lncRNA from 1 species
GGUGGAUCACCUGAGGUCAGGAGUUUGAGACCAGCCUGGCCAACAGGUGAAACCCCAUCUCUACUAAAAAUACAAAAAUCAGCUGGUCCUGGUGGUGUGUGUAGUCCCAGCUACUUGAGAGGCUGAGGCAGGAGGAUCACUUGAACUUGGGAGGUGGAGGCUGCAGUGAGCCAAGAUCGUGCCAUUUCACUCCAGCCUGGGUGACAGAGAGGGACUCCAUUUCAAAAACAAAUUUGACAGGGAACAGUCACACAGUUUAGAAAGGAUUAUGCAAACCAGAAUCAAUAGUGACCUGAUGAACCGGGCUUUCUGACGAUUCUAAACCACGGAGGCUGAGGGGCCCAGCUAAACAAUGACAGCACCUCGGGGAAGUGGGUGAGAUGUGCAGCGGGCUGUGGAAGGAGGCCAGAAGGACCAGGGCCCUAGUCCAGGCUGCUGGUGAUGAGAACUAAACAGGGCGCAGGGCGACGAGCAAGUGCUGUAGUCCGAGGAGCGGCCCCUGGGCGCCAGCGCCAUGGGUGGAGGCCGUCCCUCCUAAGGCGCAGCCGGUGCAUUUGGGACCGGGGGAGCAGAUCCCGUGCCUCCCUGGACCCCGGGGUCUUGGGAUCACCCGGCCGCAGAGGCAGAGGCUUCGGCUGCACAGAAACCUGGGGUGGCCGCAGGGAAGCAGCGCCCUCAGGUGACUGGAGAGUGGGUAAGAGAAGCCCCAAGAAGGACCUCGCCCAUCCCCGUAGGCGUGGGACGGCACAGGCCGCCAGGACCCCCACGCACAGCCCAGUCUGCGGGGCGCGACCCCAAGGCCAGCAGCAGAGGACAAGGACGGGGCCAGGGCAGGGGCCAGGGUUGGCAGAGGGCGGAGGGUGGGGAGGGCGCUCUGGGGAGGUCAAGGCCAGGGCUAGGCUUUCAGGGCCAUGUCCUGGCUCCCCGCCCCUCGGGGAGACGGGGGCGGGGAGCGCUGUGAGCAGAGGGGCCCGGGUGGAGAAGGUGCUGCCGGCCAGCGGGAGGGAGGGCAGCGGGGGUGCAGCAGAAGCCCAGGUGGGGACUUGGGGUGGUCGAGGGGACCCUUGGGCUGCAGGGACUGGGGAGGGGAGCAAGGGGUAUGGCUUAGGCAGGUGCCAGGGGACGGUUGGUGCCCUUUAUUCUGAAGGGGGAUGUGCUGCCCAGGGCAGCGGGACCUGGAAUUACAUUUUGAGAUUUCCAGGAAAGUUUCAGGUGGAGGCAGAGGCUGGGCGCAGAGGAAAAUGUGGCAGUGGCAGAGUGUGGGGUGAGAGCCACGAAGAGAGGAGGUCACUGAGGUGGACAGUGGGACAGAGAGAGGGACGGGGAGAGGAACAGGAGUUUCAGAAACGUCCUGGACACAUUGGGCAGCCGUCAGCAUUGCUUUCCAUUCAUGGACAAAGCGUGGGUGCCCAGAAGAGGCCAGAAGCCAGUGCAGAAGCCCAGGCCUCCCUGCCAUCACCCGGUGCUGGCUGAGCUGCAAAUGGCUGUGCAGAGCCUCCUCCAUGCCUCACCCUGGUCUGGACCGGACCACAGGGCCCUUUGGAUCCUUUCCCAGGUCCCACGUCUGACCCACACCCAGAAGCAGCGCUUGGUGGAGUCUGCCCUGAAGAUGCACGUCCAACAAUAUGCAAACACCCAAAAGGUUAUAGGCUGUGCAUUGUGUCACAAGGGAGCACUGUGCAGCCGUGACAGAUGAGUGACAAUGUAGGGUGGUUCCCACGACCCGCUGCUGAGCACGAAGCAGGUGCAGAUGUGUAUCUGCAGCGUGUGCUCUUCAGGUAAGGGAGAUGGGGAGAGAAGCAGUUACUCGGGUGCUCUGGAGGAAGGAAAGAUAAACCAGGACCUAAAGAGAGUUGUUGCCUGCAGGGGCGGAUGGGAGUGGGGCAGAAAGAAGGGAACGGGAAUGGAGUAGCAGGGAUGGGGCGGAGCAACAUUUUUCUAAGGAGACUUUCUGUGAAGCGCCCCAUUCUUAGAAUCACAGUGAUGUUUCAUAGCCCCCCAAAAUAAUGAAGAUCAACCAGAUUGUGGGAGAAAUUCCAAAUGGAUAUAAACAGUAACAAGCAAACUUCACUGUUCAAAAGGAAUAACUUUACCAUCCUGAAUCCAGGGUGAAGGAAAGAAACGAGUAACUGUGGGCCAGGAACAGUGGCUUACGCCUGUAAUUCCAGCACUUUGGGAGGCUGAGGCAGGAUCACCUGAGGUAAGGAGUUCAAGACCAGCCUGGCCAUCACGGUGAAACCCUGUCUCUACUAAAAAUACAAAAAUUAGUUGGGCAUGGUGGUGCACACGCCUGUAGUCCCAGCUACUGGGGAGGCUGAGGCAGGAGGCCCAGGAUGUGGAGGUUGCAGUGAGCUGAGAUCACAUUCAAGCCUGGGCCACAGAGCGAGACUCUAUCUAAAAAGAAAAAAAAAGUAACUUUGGAAAAUAGGAUUUUGAUGGAUACCGUAAGUAAGUUUAAAGACAAAAAGAACUGGACAGAAUACUGGAGAUCAAGCUUGUCCAACUCGCGGCUUCUGGGCUGUGCGGCCCAGGACAGCUUUGAAUGCGGCCCAACACAAAUUUGUAAACUUUCGUAAGACAUUAUGAGAUUUUUUUGCGAUUUUUUUUUUUUUAACUCAUCAGUCAUCAUUAAUGUUAGUGUAUUUUAUGUGUGGUGCAAUACAGUUGUUCAGUGUGGCCCAGGGAAGCCAAAAGCUUGGACACCCCUGCUGUAGAUGGUGACUGUUUUUCACAUGGGUCCAGGCCAGCAGUUCUGAAAUGUAUGUACACACGAGGAUUGACCACACAGGUAAAUCUAAUCUGCAUCGGACAGUGAGAGCCAGAGGGAGGCCAAGGAAAGCCCUUGGUGUUGGGUUGGCUCCAAGGUAUCUGUGUAAACCCAUGGUUUUUACCAUGUAUAUAUGCAGGUAGAUACAGGAAUAAAUGCAGAAGCCUGCCUAUGCUUGGGCUAUUAAGUAUGCAUGUCUUUUCUAGGUCUUUAAGCUCAAAGGGUCUAGAAACGAUGAUAUCCCAGCCACAGUGAGCUCACCUUGCACUCAGAUCUUCGUUUUCUAGCACUAUUCUCCAGCGUAUGAAACUGGCAAUCCUUGGAGAACUGGUUUGUUCCAGGACUGGGGCAGACGAAAUCCUAGCUAAGCCUGGAGUACUUUGUAGACCCAGGAAAUGAGGAUGUGUUUGAAAAAGAUGGGGAAUUGUUGAAAGAACCCAGGGGCCAGCCUGAGGGAGAUCCCAGGGGCCAAACCUGGAAUGAGUCAAUGGCCAUAGCAUUGGUUUAUAACAGCAUAAAAUAAAUGUCCCCAAAUCCAUACUGAUAUCAACAGAUAACUGGAUACGGCCAGGUGGCUCAUGUCUGUAAUCCCAGCACUUUGGGAGGUCGAGGUGGGCCACUGCACUCCAGCCUGGGCGACAAGAGCAAAACUCCUGUCUUGAAAAAAAAAAUUCUUAGUAGAAGCAGGAGACUUCCAGUCAUGGGCCCACUUGGACUCCUCAGCUACGAUGGCUGCAUUCCCAGUGUCGCCCACACCCCUGCCUCCCUGGCCGCCUCCAGCAGGGCUCUGGGUCAAGCGAGAAGAGAGGUCCACUUGUGCGAGGAAGGUCCGUCUUUCUGUCUACAGGCCUGAAGAUGGACCUGGGAGAGCACGACCUCGCCACAACAUCACCAUCCUGAUCAGAGGCGAGAGGGGACAAGGUCAUAGGUGUGGAGAUUUUCAGGUUUUGGGGAAAGCGAUUCUGAGAACUCUGAAGGCUAUUUCCACGGAAAUGAGAAGAAAAAUAUUUUCCAAGGACCAAGUACCCACCGGCCACCGUGGGAAAUGUUUUCACGGCCGCUACACUGAAGUUUCACUGCCACCUAGGGAAGUUGCUAUCACUGUCACACUUCAUGAGUGAGGCGCCUGGCGCUCCAUGACUGCCUGUGGUCACACACAGGAAGGUGCUGGAGCCAGGGGUGGAACUGGCAUUCCUCCAAAGUCAACCCCCCACUCUGGGUGCGGUGGCUGAUACCUGUAAUACCAGCACUUUAGGAGGCCGAGAUGGGUGGAUCACCUGAGGUGAGGAGUUCAAGACCAACCUGGCCAAGGUGGUGAAACCUCGUCUCUACUAAAAAUACAGAAAUUAGCCAGGUGGGGUAACGGGUGCUUGUAAUCCCAGGUACUCAGGAGGCGGAGGUGGGAGAAUCGCUUGAACCCGGGAGGGGGAGGUUGCAGUGAGCUGAGAUCGCACCACUGCACUGUUGCCUGGAUGACCGAGUGAGACUCUGUGUCAAAAAAACAAAACAAAACAAACUGGCUGGGCGCGGUGGCUCAUGCCUGUAAUCCCAGCCCUUUGGGAGACCGAGGCAGGUAGAUCACCUGAGGUCAGGAGUUCAAGACCAGCCUAACCAACAAGGAGAAACGCUGCCUCUACUAAAAAAUAUAAAAAUUAGCCAGACGUGGUGGCAGGUGCCUGUAGUCCCAGCUACUUGGGAGGCUGAGACAGGAGAAUUGCUGGAACCCAGGAGGCAGAGGUUGCCAUGAGCCAAGAUCGCAUCACCGCACUUCAGCCUGGGCGACAGAGCGAGACUCUGUCUCAAAAAAAAAAAAAAACCAAAAAACACAAAGUCAAACCUUACAAUGGACUAGACUGUUGUCUCCUUGAGAGAAGACACGGCUUUCUUUGUCCUUGGCUCCCUGAACCUUGUGCGGUCCCGUCCACACAAGAGGUGCUUAAUAUAUGUGGAAGGAAUGAAUGAAUGUACAUCGAAUGAAUGAAUGAGCACACUUUGGAUGACUUGUAGGCCCAUCACAUGGGUUUGGCUGCAGAGGGUGGCUGAAGCCAGUCUUUAUGACUGCAUUUGUUGUAACCUUCCUGUACUGUGGUGAGGGGUUAGCAUUCACUCACUCAUUCACUCAUUGUAAGAAUAUCACAAAGGGUUUGUUUUUUUUCUCAACCAAUUGAGUUGUCACCAUGAUAACCCACCACCAAAUAUGUUAGUGUGAACUACCUACGAACAGGGAUGUUUUCCUACGUAACCACAUCUAGACAUAGAAAUCGGGAAAUCAGCACUGAUGUAUCAUGAUUAUCUGAUCCACAGGUCCUGUUCGAGUUUCCUCAAUGGCCCCAGCGACGUCCUUUACAGCACAAGAGUCCCUUCCAGGAUCCCUUGUUGCAUUUAGUGGUCAUGUCUCUGCAUUUAGUGUUUGCAUUUAGUGGUCUGUUGCAUUUAGUGGUCCGAGCUGUUCCUUGGAACAGCUUUUCCAUCUUUCCUUGACUUUCAGGACUUUGCCCUUGGAUGAUCACAGGCCAGGUGUCUUGUGGAGCCCCCGCCCCUCACUGCGGGUUGGGCUGACGAUUCCCCCACGAUGAGGCUCAGGUGAUGCCUCUUGGGCAGGAAGAUGGUGAAAGCGACGCAGAGCUCUCACUGCAUCCUGCCAGGGCACACAGCUUUAAUGUGGCCCAUUGGUGGUGAUGUUAACCUUGACCAUCAGAUUAACAUGGCAUCUGCACUAAAGGAAUCAGAUUAUCUGACUUCAAAUUAUACUACAGAGCUAUAGUAACCAAAACAGUAAGGUACUGGCAUAAAAACAGACACAUAGACCAAUGGAACAGAACAGAGAACCCAGAAACAAAUCUAUACAUCUGUAAUGAACUCCCUUUUGACAAAGGUGCCAAGAACAUACGUUGGAGAAAGGAUAAUCUCUUCAACAAAUGGGGCUGGGAAAAUUGGAUAUUCAUAUUCAGAAGAAUGAAAGUAGACCCUUAUCUCUCUCACCAUAUACAAACAUCAAAUCAAAAUGGAUUAAAGACUUAAAUCUGGCCAGGCAACAUGGUGAAACCCCUUCUCUACAAAAAAUACAAAAAUUAGCCAGGCAUGGUGUCAUGUGCCUGUAGUCCCAGCUACUUGGAAGGCUGAGGUGGGAGAAUGGCCUGAGCCUGGGAGAUGGAGGUUGCAGUGAGCCAUGAUUGUGCCACGGCACUCCAGCCUGGGUAACAGAGCCAGACCCUGUCUCAAAAAAAUGAAAUAAUUUUUUUUAAAAAAAGACAAAUCUAAAACCUCACACUAUGAAACUACUACAAGAAAACACUGGGGGCUAGGGGCAGUGGCUCACUCCUGUAAUCCCAGCACUUAACGGAGGCUGAGGCAGGUGGAUCACUUGAGGUCAGGAAUUCGAGACCAGCCUGGCCAACAUGGUAAAACCCCAUCUCUACUAAAAACACACACACACACACACACACAAAAUUGCCAGGCAUGGUGGCACAUGCCUGUAAUCCCAGCUACUCGGGAGGCUGAGGCACGAGAAUCCCUUGAGCCCAGGAGGUGGAGGAUGCAGUGAGCCAAGGUCACACCACUGCACUCCGUCCUGGGUGACAGAGCGAGACUCCGUCUCAAAGAAAAAGAAAAGAAAACAUUGGGGAAACUCCAGAACAUUGGUCAGGGCAAAAAUUUCUUGAGUAAUACCCUACAAGAACAGACAACCAAAGCAAAAAUGGACAAAUGGGAUCACAUCAAGUUAAAAAGCUACUCCACUGCAAAGGAAACAAUCAAAAAUGAAAAGAAAUCCCACGGAAUGAGAGAAAAGAUUUGCAAACUAACCAUCUGACAGGGAUUAAUAACCGGAAUAUAUAAGGAGCUCAAAUAACUCUAUAGGAAACAAUCUAAUAAUCUGAUUUAAAAAUGGGCAAAAGAUUUGAAUAGACAUUUCUCAAAGGAAGGCUUGCAAAUGGCAAACAGGCAUGCAAAAAGGUGCUCAGCAUCCUUGAUCAUCAGAGAAAUGCAAAUCAAAACUACAAUGAGAUAUCAUCUCACUCCAGUUAAAAUAGCUUUUAUCCAAAAGUCAGGCAAUAACAAAUGCUGGCGAGGAGGUGGAGAAAAGGGAACCCUCAUAGACUGGUGGUGGGAAUGUAAAUUACUAUAACCACUAUGGAGAACAGUUUGGAGGUUCCUCAAAAAACUGAAAAUAGAACUACCAGCAAUCAAACUGCUGGGUAUAUGACCCAAAGAAGGGAAAUCAGUCUAUCCAAGUGUUAGCUGCUCUCCCAUGUCCGUUGCAGCACUAUUCACACUAGCCAAGAUUUGGAAGCAACCAAAGUAUCUAUCAACAGAGGAAUGGAUAAAGAAAAUGUGGUACAUAUACACAGUGGAGUACUAUUCAGCCAUUAAAAAGAAUGAGACCCUGUCAUUUGCAACAAUAUAGAUGGAACUAGAGGUCAUUAUGUUAAAGAAAAUAAAUCAGGCACAGAACACAAACAUCACAUGUGCUCACUUAUUUGUGGGAUCUAAAAAUCAAAAUAAUUGAAUUCACGGACAUAGAAGGUAG